rnacentral:rRNA from 1 species
GACGAACCGUCCAAACGUUACUCGGAAUUACUGGGCUUAAAGGGUGCGUAGGCUGCGCGGAAAGUUGGAUGUGAAAGCCCUCAGCUCAACUGGGGAAUCGCAUUCAAAACUACCGUGCUCGAGGGAGACAGAGGUAAGCGGAACUCAAGGUGGAGCGGUGAAAUGCGUUGAUAUCUUGAGGAACACCGGUGGCGAAAGCGGCUUACUGGGUCUCUUCUGACGCUGAGGCACGAAAGCCAAGGUAGCAAACGGG